GCGACGAGUCCGUCCGCGAAAGUGGUAAAACAAAACUUGACGAAUACAUUGAUGACAUUUAUAAUAAAACGUAUACAUGUGUAUUUACUAAAGUCGCAGGUGAAUUUCUCAACACUGAGGGUGCUGGACUUUAUCUACUUCAAAGUAAGAUUAAUCACAGUUGUGUACCAAACGCUCAUUCGACAUUUUCUUAUACUACAAACGACAUAGUGAGCGCCGCAGACAUUCGAGACAAAAAAAAUAUUUCUUUCAGACAUGUGCUGCAAUUCGUUUUCGCAUGAAAUUUUUAUAGAAAACGUGACACCAUGUGCUGAAUUUCACUGUUCCGUUUUCAAACCUCAAUCGUAUCAUAUUUAACAUGUGACAGAAAUCGAAUUCGUCAUAUUUUUUCCGUUUUGAAAUCGGUCGGCCGUGAGCACACGCAAAAUAUAUUUGAUUGUAAAAAAGUUGAAAAAAUGGACUAACAUAAAACACAAGCACAUAAUGAAAUAUUUAUAAAUUUCAUGGAACAGCACCCGGAUAUAGCGAAAAAUUUUGUUAAGGGCGACCGCGCGGCAAUGGAGGCUUUUUGCUGGCGAAAAAGCUUAAUUGCUAUAAAUGGCUGGAAGAAAGUCUGGUCGGACUGUAAAGAAAAAAUUGCACACAAUAAAUGCGAGACAAUAGCCUCCGGUGGAGUUCAGUUUAACCAGUUCGUUUUAACAUCAACGAAAGAAAAAAUUGCUGAACUAGCCGGUAUAUUUACGAGUGCUGAAGGGAUUCCCAAAAUGUUUUUUUUUUCAGUAUAAAUGAAAAUUCUGAUCCCUCGGAUGAAGAAAAUAUUGUGCCGAGUGCGUCAGAAAGUACGUCAAUACCCCAAAAACGUCUUCGGCAAGACUCGAUUCAAGAUUGCAUAAGGUAAAAUAUCGUAAAGGAGGCAGGUGCGGUUGAAAAGUUGUCUGGGACAUUGGGGCAUCUUCUCAAAAGUUUCAGAGAAACUUCAACAAUUUUAAAAGAAGCGAAUCAUUUCGGUAUUUCGGUACAAUAAAAACACUCAUAUUCACAAAAAUAUUUCACACAAAAUUGUUAUUGAAUGUCAGUUGUUUGACUAUCAGCUCUUUCGAAUUUAAGUUCGAAUCAGAAAAAAAUCGUGUGAAUUUUAUCAUACCUCAAAUCAAUUCCUACGAUUUGCAAUUUCGGUGUCAAAAUGAAAUCGCGCGAUUUCCAGCACAUGCCGGUUUAUAUUAUUUAUAUCACCAUAAAAGACUUUUCAACGUUAUUUCGUAUGUUUCAAAACUAGGAUGCAUGCACCACCUGAGCUUGCGUGCUAAAAGUGGUGUGCACGAUUUAAAAGUGGUGAUUUUGACUUAAUAGACUAAGAACGUCCUGGGCUGGGCGGCAUUACUCGAUAAAUAUUGCUACAAACAUAAGAAACCCUCACAGAGUCUUUGGGAGUCACUCAUACCCGAGCCAGACAUGUGGUAACAAUACCAUAGUAAAGGUACCACGGUAUUCUGUUUACUACGUUGAUGACACACAUGGCAAUGUAGUAAACUCAAAUACCAGCUUUCAGAAGCAUUAAAUAUUUAAUCUAUUUUCAUCGCAAAAAAAGUGAUUUGGUUAAAGCUUCUCUAAAAUCCUCACACAAAAUAAGGUAUUUCCUGCUUUUCCGGAAGAAAAAUUGUGAAAAAUGUUUUGUUUUCCAUUUCAUUAAUUAAUUUUUUAACUAAUUUUGACAGAAUAUUUCGAAGAUCUUUUGUCUAAAAGCUUUUAGCAAAGUUUGUUACCUGUUUUUUAGGUGUUUAUAGAAAUACCACAAUGAAACAUCAUAGGAUUGUUACCAGCAAAAUACUACAUUGCUCAUAUGGUAUUUUGCUAGUAUUUGGUGACACACAUUGGUAUUUGUAGCAUAUAUGGUAUUUUUACUAUGUACAUGUCUGUCUCGGGUAUCAGGCAGCUUUGCCAAAACGUUUACGUAUAAAUGCAGUUUGAAGGCAUUAGAAAUAACUCAGUUUGCUUGUUUGUGACUAGUGAUGAAGAAUGGAUCCAUUAUGGCAGGGGUGGGCAUAUUAGCCCUCAGUGGCAUUUUUCCCGUUCGGGCACGAGUGCACAUUUUGAUGGCUAGAUGAGGGGAUCAUCGCGGGCAAACAUGAAGAGGGAAGUGAGAGCAACGUAUUUUACCACUCCAUAUUUACAAAUGAGAGCAACGUAUUUUCCCACACCACGUUUACAAAUGAGAGCGCGCGCAUAUAUGGGAAGUUGCACUGUGGGUAAUAACUAUAAAAUUGCCUAACAGUUUUAAGUUUCUUUGUAACUACUAUAAAUUUAUAAAAUGUAAGACAAAUAACGAGAAGUAUAAUAAAUAUUUCUUUUUAUAUGUCUUUAUAACAGCAUUUAAUUUAGUUUAUUUCACAUAAUAAUUUCUAUGUUUGGUUUAAUAUCAUUUGCUGUAGCUGCACGCAUAAUUGUACCAAAAUUUAAAUCAGAUAACCUAUGUAUUUCUUAUUUUAUGUUUGUUUAAUUUAAUUUUUGAAAGAAAUUGUUCACAAGUGUAUGUGCUUCGAAACACAUAAAUAAUUUUCGGAGCAAAAAAUUUCAAACCAGGUUAUUUCUUUAAGCUUCCUUAUAAAAAGUAAUUUCAAUAAUAACUUCAGGUUAUGAACCACUGUUUCUUCAAACGCAUAUACACAAAUGAAUCUUAUGAGAGCGCAAUGUAAAGAAUUACCCAACAACGCUUCUACCGCCCGCUUACCGCAGAAUUUUAAACGACUUGGGGUUUUCCCCAUAGAAACGACUCAGCUGAUUGCUCUCUCACAACGAAGGGUGUUGUCAGGCUCGAUAUACUGUAGUAAUUAUAAAAAUUGUCUUCAAUAUAUUUGAAAUUUUCUAAAACUAAAGCAAAAUCAGAAUCGAAUGCUAUUAUUUAUAAAUAUAUAAACUAGUUUACUAGUUUGAUUUCAGUUUUGAUAUUUUAUAUUACGAAAAAUUACAAUUGAAAAGUUAGAUGUGUGCAAAACUACAUACAUAUGCGUAUUGAGUAAUGGCAACAUUGUUCGAAUGAAAACGAGAACAAAACGUUUGCCGCUCGUAGCGAAGGGAGAAGCGGUAUUCUAUGUUUCCGCCAUUAGCGUGUAUCCUAUUUGUGUGCUUAGCCACUCUCAAUCAAUAAUGCCAUACCGCAAAAAUAUAUUUUUAUUUGAUGAUUUCUUAUAUUUUUGAAAAUAUGUGUUCCCUUUCUAUAGCGCGUAUUAUUAUUUUAAUACAUUUCCAGAGGCAACUUAGAUUUUUAAAAUUUAACAGAACAAUUAUAGAAAACAACCUCAAUUCUUUGAAUAUUUUGAUAAAACAACCAAACUGAAAAUAUCACUAAUAUUAAUAUAUAUUUAUAUACACAUAUAUAUAUAUUUAUAUAAGCAUUUUCAUUAAAUGGUCACAAGUAUCUUUUUUUUUUGUGUAUGCAGAUAUAUAAAAAUGCCUUGCAUAUGUAUGUAUAAAAGCCCACAAUUUGAGAAAAGUUUUCCCAAUUGUAGCUAAAAUGAGUUUUUACAACUGGCAUCACCACCAUUACUGUUCUAUCGCAUGUACAGUGGUGUGAACAAAAUAGGUAUUGUGAAGUUUUAAAAUGUGCUGUUUUCUUAUUAAAUAAAAUUGUUUUUAGAUACAAGUAUAACUCAUAUAAUUUUUUCUACCAGUGAUUAGAGUUUCCCACCAUGCAAAGGUAAAUAAAAACAAAUAUUAAUGCGAAACUCUAAAACCAGGAAUAAUGGGAUGCCCAACUUAUUUCAGUGAGAGAGCGCCUCAAAACAAGCGUUUUUAUAACAUUUUCCAUUCUGGCCAGAUCGAACAAAAUAAGAAUUUUUGGGCAUUUUAAAUUAAAACACCCAACAUUUAUUACGAUUUCAAAUUAAUAUAUAUUGUACUUUUGAUAUACGGCGGAACCAUUUAAAUCCAUUUUUAUGAUUUUAUGGUAUAUUAAAACAACUAACUUUUGAUCUUUCAAUACUUAAUAAGGUAAAUUAAGCCUGUUAGUUGUCAAUUAAUAAAUGUUUUAAUCAUUUGUAAUUGAAAAUUAAUUCUAUUUUGCAUCAAAUUACAAAACGUUUCAAGAAAUAUAUUUAAAUUUCGCAUUUUCUUUGAUUUUCAUUGUUUUAAAUUUUUAUUAGCGAUCUUGAACGGAGGCAACGAAUUCCUCCGUUCACAUAUAUAAUAUUUGUGGCAUAAUUUCAAUCUGGCCGUUCCAGUCAUUCCAAUUGCAAAACGUCAAAACCUACCCAAUCCAGUCAGCUGUCAAAGUUCGGUAGGUGAGCGGUUCUCACAUUUCCAGUGACAGGGGAGUUAUGGAUCUCGUUAUCUCUUCAGAUUUUUUCGUAAUAUUUUAUGCCCUUCCCUCCGUAAACUGAUAUUCCCCUCACCUAGCCCUAGUGCGCACUUUGCUAGCUUUGCGGGCUAAAAGUGUGCCCAUCCCUGCAUUAUGGCAACCAUAACCGCACAAAUCAUAGGUGAAAUUUGACCAAUCAGCCAAAGCCAAAUUUUCAUGAUGUACUUAAGUGAAUUACUCAAUACUAACAGUUCUAAACUAAUUAAAAAAGAAAUAUUGUUAAAUUACUACUCGUAUUAUCAGUAAAAAAUGCUCAAAAUCAAUGAGGGGGAGCGAGUAAGCUAAUCACACCGACGUGUAGUGAUAGAGGAGAAAUGGUUACUUUUUCCCAGAGGCUAGAACAAAAAUAACCUAAUGGAUAAUGAGACAUUAAUUACUGAUAACCUAUCGGUUAUCAGUUACUUAACUAUUACCAGUCUUGUUGAGUUGUUUCUCAGUUUACUUCGACACUUUUGCCAACUGAACACAAUUAGGCUGUUCACGGUAAGGUGAUUAUCGGGUUAUGUGCUUAUUAGAUUAAAAAUAACCUCUAUGCUCCGUGAGCACCCUAUGUUGUAUGGUUAUUUGCUUAUGUUUACACAAACUGCUGUUCAUUGUUUACAAUUUUAGUUCAAUUUCGGCUUCCGUCCAUUUUUUCACCUCCUUUUCUCGCCGGCGCUUUCGUGUUUCUGUAGACACUAAAAUUAGAGUAUAAAUAAAUGACAAAUUGUACUUUGUGAUUCUUAUUUACUUUUGAUAAUUAUUGAUGCUUUUCCUUGCUUUUUAUUUCGGUUUUAAUUUGCUGAUUGUAAACAAAAACCAGCUGUUAAUAGCAGAUUUUCCAAUAAGAAAAUCUAAAUGGAAAUGCCAUUCGCUUAGUUUUAUUUAUUUUUUGUGCUGCCAUUUAGUAAAAUUCCAACGACUUUCUAACACUGGAAAUAAGCAAAUAACCACAUAAUCUGUAAACAAGGGCCUAGGUUGGUCAACUUUGGUUAUUUUGUCAUACCGCAUUUUGUUGUUGUUCACUUAAUCACAUAACCACAUAACCCGAUAACCACCUUAUCGUGAACAGCCUAAAUGUUGAUUGCUUAUGCUUUGCUAUCCAGCAACGACACACACUUUAGUUAUCUCUGCUACUGUUGAAUUCUCGCUGCAUAGCCUUCACCAGGAAUAAUGGGAUGCCCAACUUAUUCCAGUGUGAGAGCGCCUCAAAAUAAGCGUUUUUAUAACAUUUUCUAUUAUGGCCAGAUCGAACAAAAUAAGAAUGUUUGGGCAUUUUAAAUUAAAACACUCAACAUUUAGUACGAAAAAAAAUUGCUAUAUAGUGGUCAUUUAUUAUAUGGAGAAACUACCUAAAUCUUUUUAAAGAAUAUUAUAACAACUGACUUUUGCCUUUUCAAUACCCAAUAAUAGGAUUUAAGCUUGUUAGCUCUCAAUCAUUAAAUGUUUUCAAUAAUUUUCCAUUGAAAAUAAAAUUAUGAUGCUUCAAAUUACAAAACGUUUCAUCAAAUAUCUUUAAAUUUCACACAUUUAUUUAAUUUUCAUUGUUUUACAUUUUUUAUAAGUGGUCUUGAACGAUGCAACAAAUCCCUCCGUUUACAUUUUUUGGUAAGAUUUCAAUCUGGCCAUCGCUCGUUUCCAAUUGCUAAACGUCAAAACCUCCCCAAUCCAGUCAACUGUCAAAGUUUAGGUGGUUUUGACGUUUAGCAAUUGUUCUCUCACUUCCAGUGAGAGAGGGGUUUGGCAUCCCAUUAUUGCAUGCACACGAGUUAAUGCCUACAUUACGAACUUUGCACAUAAAGCAGCACCGCAUAGCAACAAGCAGAGAUAAAGAGAUGUUUAACUCCUCUCUCACUGGAAGUGAGAGAGCAAUUGCUAAACGUCAAAACCACCUAAACUUUGACAGUUGAUCGAGUUCAGGAGGUUUUGACGUUUAGCAAUUGGAAACGAGCGAUGGCCAGAUUGAAAUCUUACCAAAAAAAGAUGUAAACGGAGGAAUUUGUUGCCGCUGUUC